rnacentral:rRNA from 2 species
ACAGCCGUUGCACACGAGUCAGUCGAUCCUAAGCCCUAGGAGAAAUCCUAUGUCGAUGACGGUGUGCAUACAUAAUGUUGUUCGUAAAUGACGACACACACCCGUCGGGCGAAAGGGAAUCCGGUU